rnacentral:lncRNA from 1 species
CUUCAUCAGCUUAUCUGACCUCCAUGUACUUAUAUAUAUAAAGCUGAAAAGAAUUUAAAAUCAGUAUAUGAAAGAGAAGGUUAGAUGAGCCGUGCAUGACUUCUCUGCUAGCAUCACAGACAUAUCACAAACUUCAUCAGUCCUCCAGGCCCAAGUUGACUCUUUAGCUGCAGUUGUCCUCCAAAACCACCGAGGCCUUGACUUACUCACUGCUGAAAAAGGAGGACUCUGUAUAUUCUUAAAUGAAGAGUG